GCUUGAGUGGCUCAUUCAGUUGAGCAUCUGCCUUCAACUGAGAUGAUGAUCCAGGGGCCAUGGGAUUGAGCCCCAUCUCAGGCU
rnacentral:tRNA from 1 species